AUUUUUUCUGACAUCAUCAAUCAAUCUAGUGAUAAGAAGGAAGCAUAAUCUUGAAAGCCAGUUUGUACAACAUAACUAGUAUGCACUGAAAUAAAAAUACUAAAUGCUGAGAACUGAGAAAUAAGUAUAGAUCACGUUAUUUGGUAGUUGCUUUUGAUAAUUGCAUAGCUUAAUUAAGGACAGAAAUCUUGAUAUAAUUGUCA
rnacentral:misc_RNA from 1 species